AUUGAACGCUGGCGGCAUGCUUUACACAUGCAAGUCGAACGGUAACAGGCCGCAAGGUGCUGACGAGUGGCGAACGGGUGAGUAAUGCAUCGGAACGUGCCCAGUCGUGGGGGAUAACUACUCGAAAGAGUAGCUAAUACCGCAUACGAUCUAUGGAUGAAAGCGGGGGACCGUAGGGCCUCGCGCGAUUAGAGCGGCCGAUGUCAGAUUAGGUAGUUGGUGGGGUAAAGGCUCACCAAGCCAACGAUCUGUAGCUGGUCUGAGAGGACGACCAGCCACACUGGGACUGAGACACGGCCCAGACUCCUACGGGAGGCAGCAGUGGGGAAUUUUGGACAAUGGGCGCAAGCCUGAUCCAGCAAUGCCGCGUGCAGGAAGAAGGCCUUCGGGUUGUAAACUGCUUUUGUACGGAGCGAAACGGCUCUGGUUAAUACCCGGGGCUAAUGACGGUACCGUAAGAAUAAGCACCGGCUAACUACGUG
rnacentral:rRNA from 1 species